CACCCCUAGUCCAGUUUUCAGAUCUGCACACUCUUAUCUCUGACAAGAUGGUCUCCCGAAGCCUCGUGUUCGUCAUGGUCGCUCUCCUGGUCCUCGCCCUUGCCGAGGCCACCUACCGCAAACCUCCCUUCAACGGCAGCAUCUUCGGGAAACGAGCCAACCAAGCCGUUUCAGAGUUCGAAGAAGCCGCUGGUGCCCGGAAGGCUCUGUCCUCUCUUUGCGAAGUCGUCGCUGAGUCUUGCUCCGCUUGGUUCCCCAACUCUGAAAGUAGCGUUUAGUCUUCUUCAACUACAUUUAUCUAGAACUGUAGAUUUUAAGACCUGGAGCUGAAAGUGUUUAGUAUUUAGGCUAGAUGAAUCAGCUGUUUACAAUGUAAUGUACCGGUACUCUUCAUAAUAAACUGCAGAUACACAAUUUUUAAA